AAAGUUGGGUCAGGUGUUGCACCUCAAAAGUUUGUUUAAAAAUGUGUGUCAACAUAGUUAGUUAGUUCCUCAAAGAUAAAUAUGUGGAAAUGCAUCUUGUGAGACUCGUUUGGGAUGUUUUUAAUUAUGUUUUGCUUUUCACCUGGACCCCAAAACGUCGAGUUGAACACCUGAACCAGCUAGCCACCUUUACGGCCUGCUUUCACGGUAUAGGCCUACUUUGUUAAGUGGAGCAGCAGCUGAAACAGAUUUAAGUUCAACAAAUCACGCCUAGGUGGGGCACUGUCUGCCCAAAUGAAGCCCAAUUUAGUGGCUAGGAGGAGCCCCAGCUCUUCCUCUCCUCCAUCCUCUGUGAGGGCUCCAAGCCCCUCUCCUCCUACGGCCUCUGUGAGGACCCCCAGCUCUUCCUCUCCUCCAUCCUCUGUGAGGGCUCCAAGCCCCUCUCCUCCUACGGCCUCUGUGAGGACCCCCAG